rnacentral:rRNA from 1 species
AAACCAACAGGGAUUGCCUUAGUAGCGGCGAGUGAAGCGGCAAAAGCUCAAAUUUGAAAUCUGGCACUUUCAGUGUCCGAGUUGUAAUUUGAAGAAGGUAUCUUUGGGUCUGGCUCUUGUCUAUGUUUCUUGGAACAGAACGUCACAGAGGGUGAGAAUCCCGUGCGAUGAGAUGUCCCAGACCUAUGUAAAGUUCCUUCGAAGAGUCGAGUUGUUUGGGAAUGCAGCUCUAAGUGGGUGGUAAAUUCCAUCUAAAGCUAAAUAUUGGCGAGAGACCGAUAGCGAACAAGUACAGUGAUGGAAAGAUGAAAAGAACUUUGAAAAGAGAGUGAAAAAGUACGUGAAAUUGUUGAAAGGGAAGGGCUUGAGAUCAGACUUGGUAUUUUGUAUGUUACUCUCUCGGGGGUGGCCUCUACAGUUUACCGGGCCAGCAUCAGUUUGAGCGGUAGGAUAAGUGCAAAGAAAAUGUGGCACUGCUUCGGUAGUGUGUUAUAGUCUUUGUCGAUACUGCCAGCUUAGGACUGAGGACUGCGGCUUCGGCC